GGAAAUAGCUCAGUGGUAGAGUGUGUGCUUAGCAUGCACGAGGUCCUGGGUUCAAUCCCCAGUAAUUCCA
rnacentral:tRNA from 1 species